rnacentral:rRNA from 1 species
UACGUAGGGGGCAAGCGUUGUCCGGAUUUAUUGGGCGUAAAGAGCGUGUAGGCGGCCUGAAAGGUCAGCUGUGAAGACUCGGGGCUCAACCCCGAGACGUCGGUUGAAACCAUCUGGCUAGAGUCCGGAAGAGGAGUGUGGAAUUCCCGGUGUAGCGGUGAAAUGCGCAGAUAUCGGGAAGAACACCCGUGGCGAAGGCGGCACUCUGGGACGGUACUGACGCUGAGACGCGAAAGCGUGGGGAGCGAACAGG